rnacentral:rRNA from 1 species
AUUGAACGCUGGCGGAAUGCUUUACACAUGCAAGUCGAGCGGCAGCGCGGGGCAACCUGGCGGCGAGCGGCGAACGGGUGAGUAAUGUAUCGGAACGUGUCCUGUCGUGGGGGAUAGCCCGGUGAAAACCGGAUUAAUACCGCAUACGAUCGAGAGAUGAAAGUGGGGGACCGCAAGGCCUCACGCGAUAGGAGCGGCCGAUAUCUGAUUAGCUAGUUGGUGGGGUAAAGGCCCACCAAGGCUUCGAUCAGUAGCUGGUCUGAGAGGAUGAUCAGCCACACUGGGACUGAGACACGGCCCAGACUCCUACGGGAGGCAGCAGUGGGGAAUUUUGGACAAUGGGGGCAACCCUGAUCCAGCCAUUCCGCGUGAGUGAAGAAGGCCUUCGGGUUGUAGAGCUCUUUUGUCCGGGAAGAAACGGUUUUGGCUAAUAACCAAGACUACUGACGGUACCGGAAGAGUAAGGACCGGCUAACUACGUGCCAGCCGCCGCAGUAA